rnacentral:lncRNA from 1 species
UGUAUAUAUAUAUAUGUUUGUAUCUGUGUUUAUCCUUCCACCAUCACUUGACAGCUCAUGUUGGUGUGUUUACAUCCCCGUAACUUAGCGGUUUGGCAAAAGGAACUGAUGGAAUAAAUACUAGGCUUACAAAAAAUAAGUCCUGGGGUCGAUUUGUUCGACUAAGGGCAGUGCUCCAGCAUGGCUGCAGACAAAUGACAAACAAACAAAUGAACAAAAGAAUAUGAUCAAAAUCACUGAAGAGGGUGGUGUGAGAUGAGAGGUACUCUGGCGGCACAGUGGAGAUGGCUGGGUGAUCAAUGAAAGGUAUGAGUGGAGAGCAGUAUUAAUGGGUGAUGAUGGGAGUGAGGCAAUUCUAGAUAGUGAGAAAAGUGGAAUCAAGGAAGAACUGCUGUUAAAGAGAUGAUGGUGGUGGGCAUCUUGAAGAGGAAAGAAACUGGGCUAGUGGAACUAAAGUUUACUUAUGUGGACAUACUGCCAUCCAUCUUUGUCCCUUGUUAUUUUCCUCAUGAGGUUCAAGGUCCAGAGAUCAGCCUUCACCACCUUACUCCAUGUCUUCCAGGUUCUGCCUCUUCUGCAAGUUCCAUCCACUUUUCGUGACCAUUCUUCUCUAUACAGCUGACCUCAUAUAUAUAUAUAUAUAUAUAUGCCAUCCAUCUUUGUCCCUUGUUAUUUUCCUCAUGAGGUUCAAGGUCCAGAGAUCAGCCUUCACUACCUUACUCCAUGUCUUCCAGGUUCUGCCUCUUCUGCAAGUUCCAUCCACUUUUCGUGACCAUUCUUCUCUAUACAGCUGACCUCAUAUAUAUAUAUAUAUAUAUAUCAGGAAUAAGACAGUCAAAUUAAAGGUAUUAAGGUUAACUUCUCUCAAUACUUUAUUCAUAUAUAUAAAAGUAGUUUUAGAGGCAGAACCACCCAGACCUGAAGAUUGGGAGUACGUCGAUCU